rnacentral:rRNA from 1 species
CCUACGGGAGGCAGCAGUGGGGAAUUUUGGACAAUGGGGGAAACCCUGAUCCAGCAAUGCCGCGUGAGUGAAGAAGGCCUUCGGGUUGUAAAGCUCUUUUGUCAGGGAAGAAACACCGGCUCUAACACAGUCCGGGAAUGACGGUACCUGAAGAAUAAGCACCGGCUAACUACGUGCCAGCAGCCGCGGUAAUACGUAGGGUGCGAGCGUUAAUCGGAAUUACUGGGCGUAAAGCGUGCGCAGGCGGUUAUACAAGACAGGCGUGAAAUCCCCGGGCUUAACCUGGGAAUGGCGCCUGUGACUGUAUAGCUAGAGUGUGUCAGAGGGGGGUAGAAUUCCACGUGUAGCAGUGAAAUGCGUAGAUAUGUGGAGGAAUACCAAUGGCGAAGGCAGCCCCCUGGGAUAACACUGACGCUCAUGCACGAAAGCGUGGGGAGCAAACA